CUGAAAGACACUUCUUGUUUUGGGCUCCCUGACUUCAUACAUGAAGUAUGUGACCUCCAGGUCUCCGGGCUCUCUGAAAGGGAACUUCGACAGGGACCAAACGAGCAGUGGGAUUCCUCUCAGCUCAGAAGCAGACACACCAAGCAGCCAUGAGACUUGACCGGAAGGACAAGACAGGAAGCCGGUGCUGAAGUAGGCGAUCAAUAACCGCCUGUUCCCCGGAGAGAUGCCUGUUUGUGCAGCUCUUCAGAACGCUCUUUCAGAGCCACGGUGAAAACCCAGUCAAGAAGAAAACUUUUUUUUUACUUGCACAAACUCAUAUUUGGCUCAAUAAAAAUGCACUUAAUUUACAUAAAAAGUA